rnacentral:rRNA from 1 species
AGCGAACGUUUGCGGCGGGCUUAACACAUGCAAGUCGAACGAGAAUCCCUUCGGGGAGGAAAGUGGCGCACGGGUGCGUAACACGUGGAUAACCAACCCAUUGGUUUGGGACAACACCGGGAAACUGGUGCUAAUACCAGAUGUGUCGCAGCUGUCUUCAGGCGGUUGCGAGAAAGGCCCGCAAGGGUCGCCAACGGACGGGUCCGCGUCCCAUCAGCUAGUUGGUGAGGUAAUGGCUCACCAAGGCAAAGACGGGUAGCUGGUCUGAGAGGAUGAUCAGCCACACUGGAACUGAGACACAGUCCAGACUCCUACGGGAGGCAGCAGUGGGGAAUAUUGCGCAAUGGGCGAAAGCCUGACGCAGCCACGCCGCGUGAGCGAUGAAGGUCUUCGGAUCGUAAAGCUCUGUGGGGGGAGAAGAGGAAAGCCGGUGAAGAGCCGGCCCUGACGGUAUCCCCUUAGCAAGCACCGGCUAACUCCGUGCCAGCAGCCGCGGUAAU